GCCUGGGUGGCUCAGUGGUGGAGUAUCUGCCUUUAGAUCAGAGUAUGAUCCCAGGGUCCUGGGAUCAAGUCCCAUAUCAGGUU
rnacentral:tRNA from 1 species